rnacentral:rRNA from 1 species
GGUAACUAGUUGCUGUGGAGCGGGGUAAUCGGUAGGGUGCUGUCGUUAAGCGGAAUUAAUGGGCGUAAAGCGUGCUGAGGCGGUUGUGGAGGUCAGAUGUGAAAUCCCCGGGCUCAUCCUUGGAACUGCAUGUGAGACUGCACGGCUAUAGUGUGACAGAGGGGGGUAGAAUUCCACGUGUAGCAGUGAAAUGCGUAGAGAUGUGGAGGAAUACCGAUGGCGAAGGCAGCCCCCUGGGUUACUACUGACGCUCAUGCACGAAAGCGUGGGGAGCAAACAGGAUUAGAUACCCGUGUAGUC